ensembl:processed_transcript
CCUAUCUCCAAAUUUAUUAAUUUUGCUUAGGAUGGAGAGACACACAGUCAUUCAGUAUGUAACAUCCUCUAAGGGCAGAUAUCCACUGUCAUUCCCAACAGCCAUCCUGGUGAAGACCCUUACUGGUGUUGAAGGACUGCACGAGGUCUGCGCUGGCUUGGCAUGUGUACCCCUUCUCUCCAAGCUAGGUUGGAAAGUGUGUUCUGAGAUGCCCAGCAGAGGUGGUAAGUGUGCAGAAGGAGGGUUGGCAUCAGGCCAAACAGUGCCCUCUGGGGUGGCUCUUCUGUGGAGGGCAUCCAGGCACUCCGGUGGGAGACUCCGUCUUUCUCCCUGACUGGAAAUGCACAGGAGCCUUUGGGGCAAAGGGAGCCAUCGAGUAGCUGCCCUCUUGGAAAAGGCUCAGAAUUCUUGGGAAAGGAGAAAUGGAUCUCUCUGGAUGGUGAGGAUGUGGCCCUGGGGCUCAGACCCCACCCACACUGUGGACUCCUGCAGUGUGUGUUUAAUGGAGGAGAGGGGCUUCCCUUUCAGAGCGAGAGGCUCAGGCAGGAGUGAGAUGUCUUCCCGGAGCCUGGAAAUAGCCUCUGAGGAGCAUUUCACUGUAAAAGCCUUAAAAUGCUUAUUAGCAAGCCCUCCCCAAGGAAGCAGGUCAGCGCUGUUCUCUGCAUUUAUAAAUGACAAUAGAGGACUCAGAUGGCUGGCUCCAUCCGGCUGCAGAGCUGGAUAGAAGCCACCAGAGAGACUAGAGACGGGAAGCACGGAGAAGUCCACAACGGGCCACCGAAUCCAAACAAGGAGCUAGAAACCUGGGUAUUCUCUUCACAGCUCCGACACUGGCUCCCUGCACAUCUUCUCUUGGGAGCUCAGCGUCCACAUCUCUAAAGAAUGAGAGGUUUGGGUAAGCGAGGGCGUCUCACAGCCCCCAUUAUUGAGCCUAGGUAUAUGGAGUCUUCC